AUUUCACCAACAAUGCAACUCACAUGAGAAGGCACUAUUUGCAUGUCAUGGCAGCAGACAGAGUGAAAAAGCCACUGUCAAACUUCACGUCCAACUGAUUUUAUAGAAAUGUGCUAGGCAUGAACCUCUACUGCACCCGGCCUAUCAGCACUGUCAGGGUUUUAAGGAAAGGAAAGAAUAUCAAAAUGGACAGAACUUGGGAGCAAGGGGCAGACAGGGGCCAGGAAGAGAGAGGCUUCUGUCACGCUGGAACAUCAGUAAUUUUGACACGUCCAAGAAAGCAGGAAGUUAACUCAGAAAUGUGUAUCAUUCCUACUGCUUUAAGUUUGGUUUGACAGUAAAACAUAUGCCUUUCAAAAGGAAAUGCUGUUUUGUUCUUGCUUUGAGAUUCCUGAAAGGAUU
rnacentral:lncRNA from 10 species